AAUGAACGCUGGCGGCGCGCCUAAUACAUGCAAGUCGAGCGAGAAGACGUAGCAAUACGUUUGUAAAGCGGCGAACGGGUGAGGAAUACAUGGGUAACCUACCCUCGAGUGGGGAAUAACUAGCCGAAAGGUUAGCUAAUACCGCGUACGCUCCUUGGACUUCGGUUCAGGGAGGAAAGCGAUACCGUGGGUAUCGCGCUCUUGGUUGGGCUCAUGUCCUAUCAGCUUGUUGGUGAGGAACGGCUCACCAAGGCUUCGACGGGUAGCUGGUCUGAGAGGACGAUCAGCCACACUGGCACUGCGACACGGGCCAGACUCCUACGGGAGGCAGCAGUAAGGAAUAUUGCGCAAUGGGCGAAAGCCUGACGCAGCGACGCCGCGUGGGGGAGUGAA
rnacentral:rRNA from 1 species